ACAAUGCCAGAAACAAAACAGCCUCCAGUUGAUGUUGGCGCCUCUGCCAGUAACCACCAGCUGGUAUUAGCCGAAGCAGUCGCAAACACCGCUGCCGCUACUGGCAAUGCGAGAAGAACGAUCAGGCAGCCCUGAUAUUUGUCAGUGAGGAUACACGUGCGCAGGCCUCCGUAGAGGGUGUACAGCAACGUAGUGAGCGCCACGGGAAUUAUGGCAAAAGCAGGAGAAAAUUCCCGCCCCGUUAUAGCGUAGAAGGUGGUUCCGAUGGUCGUCAGCUCCACUGAGAAUGAAAGAAACAUGCAUCCGACCGAUACAGAGGCGAAUAUCACCUGCACGGCACGUCCAUAUCGUAUCAGUAAGUAGUCUGUGCCUGAAAACCCUGCCCCGCCCGUGAGCCGCUUCACAAUCGGAGAUAGCCACAUCAAGAGCAGGUAAGGCAGCGGGACAGCCAGAGCAUAUCCUAGUACUCCAGGCCAACUAUAUGCUCUCCCCACAUCUGCCGGGAGAAACAACAGCCAAUUGCCAGCGAAAGAUGCGAAUAGAGACAAUCCGAGCGACAGCCAGCCAUGCUGCGCACCAGAGACGAUAAGAUCCUCACUCGGGUGCAGUAGUGCUGCUUUUAGAGCCGCCCGCGAGCCCUUGCGGCCGUACAACUCGUAGAAGGUCACCACCGCAAUAAAACAGGAAAGAGACACAUACAGCAGGCCGUGCGCCCAGUCUACCGGUAAAUACCCCAUCCCGGAAGUGCUGUCGCGACUGCCCUAGACACCUUCGAGGGCAGGGGAAGCGGUACACGGGCGCCGCUGGGCAGCCACAGGUACCGUCCUAGCAACUACAAGGGGAUACAGCACGCCCAGAUGAAAUGGUAUUUUACUUUUUCGUCUUCGUGUUGGCCGCCUCUUCCCACCUGCAGCACCAGCACUACCUACGCGACGGAAUUGGAGGCUGCUCCAUCCGUGUCCUCAUGGGGCUCGAAAUUACAUCAUCUAGUAGCACAGGAACAACAAAGUCUGAAUUCUCUCAAAACGCCACGGGGCUCGCGAUGAAGUAUGAUAAUACUUAGUUCCUGCUGAGGCGUUGCCGCCUGUCGUCAGAGACACAUACACAGCCUGACGUACAGCCAGCAGGAGUAUCCCACGCAUGCACUUCAAAGGUCGCUCGAAGGGGCCGGAACGGCACCACAGAAACUCGUUAAUGGCCGCCCAACGCAUGUUGAUCCUGCGUGCGGUCGACAAGUAACAUACAGAUGAUCUAAAUUCUUUUAGGACGCCAAGGUCUUGCGAUAAAGUAUGACGGUUCACGUAGUUACUGCUGAGUCUUUACCGCCUACCUACAGGUGACGAGAUGCCAGCGAGACCCACAGCCACGGGAGUUCCCCUUGCAUGAACAGUUGGAAGGCUGCACUAAAUGGCAUGCGGGGUAUCGCGAAAACAAACACGCGGUUGCAAAAGUAUCUCUGGUGCUUUCUUACCCGAAAAACGGUCAUAGCGGCCACAUGCAGAACACAAUUCAGGCCCCUUGCCCAAGGAACUUGAACGUGUGAGGUGCUGUGGUCCCGUGUUCGCCGGUCAAAGACGGUGUACAUAUUUGCAACUGAACAGUGCUAUGUAAGGAUACUGACACCUACCUCGUGCUAGUAAACUUCCAAAAUUUUUAACGGAGUAGAGAAAACUCUCAUAAACUGCGAAAGAUAGCGGCUGUAACUACAGCAGUACUAGGGUCGCAAUCCAUUGUGGGGGAAGAUGCGACCCGCGCGGAAGGUGAAGCGACUUGAACACUUUCCUCAGGAAAAAUCCUGCGCAACAGAAAUGUCUUUGAAUAUGCAGACUCUUGACUUCAAAACAGAAAGACCUUAUGAAGCUCUACAGGCUCUUGACUUCAAGACCUGAAGCACCACUGCAAUUUCAAAUUCAAAUCGAAUCAAAUAUAUAUCUUGUAAGUGGGAAGUUCAUCCUAAUUAUGACGCACCACUUUUACAAACGUGUUUUCUAACCAGAGUCUCGGUGUCGUAAUAGAGAUAGUCUGACGGCUGCCUCCUAAAAGGUAUCGGAAGUGCACGGUGUUUUUCUCCAAUUUUCUAUAGGCACGAUGAUGAGAGUAACUACUUGAAUAGUGACGGAAGACGGUCUUUGUGGUCCGGCACAGAUGCGUGCUAGGAUUGCCGCUCAACGAUACAGGUAACAGGCCGAUCUUUCCCGUAGCCCAAACUGACAGAGAGCUUUGACAUCUAGUAGUCGGCUUGUCGCAUUCUGAGGCAGUCGCAGGUCCGAAAGGUUGGUUUGUUCGCCCAUUAAAGCCGCAGCAGAGCUGGGUUUAUAACGCCAUGAGGUAGUUCGGUCCCUAUAUUCUCUAGCUCGAGGAGAGCAAGGAGAAUAAAUGCAUGGUAUACUAGUGGUUUUUUCAAAAGCAUUUUGCCGAGUAGCUAACUUUGAGGACGGUGUGGCAGAAGGCACUUGAGCGGGGAAAACAUGAAGAUCAAUAUUCAUCUCACUGGAAGAGUAGGAAUUGGGAAAAUAUUUACUUGAAAGAUAAACCGCAUUCAAUUAGUAUUAUACUACUGGUUCGAGGAUGCAUUCUCCCUGAUCCACGUCAAAGGUAGAUCAACUGAUUU
rnacentral:rRNA from 1 species